rnacentral:rRNA from 1 species
UACGGGGGGGGCAAGCGUUGUUCGGAAUUACUGGGCGUAAAGCGUGCGCAGGCGGUGAUGUAAGUCAGUUGUGAAAUCCCCGGGCUCAACCUGGGAACUGCAUCUGUGACUGCAUUGCUGGAGUGCGGCAGAGGGGGAUGGAAUUCCGCGUGUAGCAGUGAAAUGCGUAGAUAUGCGGAGGAACACCGAUGGCGAAGGCAAUCCCCUGGGCCUGCACUGACGCUCAUGCACGAAAGCGUGGGGAGCAAACAGG